rnacentral:rRNA from 1 species
UACGAGGGGGGCGAGCGUUGUUCGGAAUUAUUGGGCGUAAAGGGCGCGUAGGCGGUCGGAUAAGUCUUGUGUGAAAUCUUCGGGCUCAACUCGAAGUCUGCACAGGAAACUAUCUGGCUUGAGUGUGGGAGAGGUGAGUGGAAUUCCUGGUGUAGCGGUGGAAUGCGCAGAUAUCAGGAGGAACACCAAUAGCGAAGGCAGCUCGCUGGGACGUUACUGACACUGAGGCGCGAAAGCGUGGGGAGCGAACAGG